UACAGAGGUCUCAAGCGUUGUUCGGAUUCAUUGGGCGUAAAGGGUGCGUAGGCGGCGCGGUAAGUCGGGGUGUGAAAUCUUGGAGCUUAACUCCGAAACUGCAUUCGAUACUGCCGUGCUUGAGGACUGGAGAGGAGACUGGAAUUUACGGUGUAGCGGUGAAAUGCGUAGAUAUCGUAAGGAAGACCAGUGGCGAAGGCGGGUCUCUGGACAGUUCCUGACGCUGAGGCACGAAGGCCAGGGGGAGCAAACGGG
rnacentral:rRNA from 1 species